CGUUCGGCCGUUUCCCUCGCUUGUCCCGGCCCGCACCCGCUGUGCUGUCUCCCCUACCAAGUCUUGGCGUCCUCCUUCCCGAAGGUCAAGGUAAAAGAGGUCGCAGGCUGGAACUCCACGCCAGUGCCGCGCGGGUUGUCUCACAGGGUCUCUUAAUCAGGGCUCAGGCUGGAGCAGCAGCUACUUGGAAACGCUAGAAGUAAAUGACGUGCGGGUGCGUUUGUUAAAAAAGGCCAGCCUCUGGAACGUGAGCGCCCCGAGAAUCGCCUGGAGGGGCUUGUUUAAAGAGUUCCGAGCCCCCCGCCCCGCGUUUCUAGGGCGCUAGGCCGGAGCGGGGAAUUUGCAUCUGUACCGCGUGCCCAGGCCACUCUGCGGACCAGGGCCACAUUUUUCUGCACGGCCACAUCGCAUCUCUUCUGCCCAGGCAGGCGACGAAAGACAUGUUAAAGCGUAGAGGAAGAAAAAGAGACCACUCUAAGAAAACUGUUCGGGAUGAGAAGGGGGGAACCACAGGUUUAAAAAAGAAAAACGCGUGUUUCAAAACACUCAGCAGGGGGCACCCGGAUUUGAACCGGGGACCUCUUGAUCUGCAGUCAAAUGCUCUACCACUGAGCUAUACCCCCUCUGCUGGUGAGCUUGCGCAGGUGGCCUCUUAGUGUGUCUCACGCAGGCGCGGAGCCGAGCUCGGAAAAGAUGAGGCUUGGGCGCCCCAGGAAUGGAAGCUUACAAACCCCACGUUUCCGACUUGGAGGCGGUUAUUUCUGCAUUUCUGCAGCCGUGAGCAACAGACGGGUAGGGUAGGAAGAACGUCAUGCGGGUUGCAGGAGGGAAACCGCUUGGAUCCAGCCUUCCGGGGGACUUGCUCCGCUCUGCUCACUCUUGGACACACUCGAGUGAACCCGCCUGCAAAACGCUGGGGAAGGGGCUCCAGCUCCGGCAGUGCUCAGGAGAGCACCAGGGCAGUAAAACAGAAGACCCGAGUCAGAGAGGGGGCACCCGGAUUUGAACCGGGGACCUCUUGAUCUGCAGUCAAAUGCUCUACCACUGAGCUAUACCCCCAUGGCGGUUCCCGAGCCUCAUUACAAUUCCUUUCCAUGGUGGAAGGGCGGGGGCGGCUUCUUCCCCGAGCGUUUCUGGUCAGAAGGUUCCAUCUGGAUCAGCGAAGAGAAAGAGCACGCGGUGGGGACGACCGCGGGCCGAGCUGCUCCGCCAUCACCACAGCUCAGGAGAACCGCACGGCUAAGGAACCCUUCCGUAUCUUAUGCCCAGACUCCCCCGUACGUUCACGCCUGGCGUGGGAAGGGGCGAGACCUCUCGUGCCCGGGCCAUUCCGGAUCCUGACGGCGAAUAGUACUGCUUCCCUUGCGCAGAACAAAUCAACCUCAACAUCUGGCGUGCCAACAUGACUGAGAGACAGCGUGUCGGACUCGAGAAUGCAGCACAGCCCAUUUGGGUACCAGCCAGAAACAUCAAGCCUGCAACUGACAGUCAACCAGAACCAGCUGACCAAGACUGAGAGCCCGCCUUGUUAGCGAAUGCACCUGCCCUAUCAUCCUACCCUGAGGAACUGCCCAUAGCCACAUCCACUACUGCUUUAUACCCCACUAGCUCCAGUCAGCCACUCGAAUGGCCCACAGCCUGCGUGCGGUCAUGCCAUUCCUGAUUCCCAUUGUUCCUCAUUCCCAUCUGAGCAAGCACUCCUGUGGUCUCCGUUUUGAGGGCAGGUUAGUCAACGAUGGGUAAGAUCCCCUGGGGGACAACCUAAGACCUAAGACAGGCACAGCCACAUACGGAGACCACAUGGAAACGGGGUCAACAAUGGUGUGGCCAAGAACCAUGCCUCCUGUUACUCAAAAAUAAACGAAAAGGAGGAAAUGUGGUGGAAUAAGGCCAUGCCAAGAUGGCUACUAGCAACGAAAACUGCCUGGCAACAGGCUGUGAUUGGUUAGGGCAUAGACCGCCCCUUGACUGGAUUGGCUGCCUUGGCUAUUUAAGCUGCUGUACCAACUGCAGGUUGCUUGCCUCUGGCCUGCUUUCACCAAGCUCCUGAGGUCUGUGUGGUGACUCCGCGCCUCCUGCCCCCACCACGCUCCUCCUCUCAGAACGAAUCCACAGCAACAUGGGGGCCCUAGGACUUGGGCCAUCUUCUACUGCAUUCCAGGCCAUCACAGAGAGCUGAAUCAGAAGAGGAGCAGCGGGGACUAGAACCGGCGGGCAUUAACCGGCUAUGCCACAGCGCCGGCCCCCUUCUUUUCUAAUCUUUUUUUUUUUUUUUUUUUUU